rnacentral:rRNA from 1 species
UACGUAGGGUGCAAGCGUUGUCCGGAAUUAUUGGGCGUAAAGAGCUCGUAGGCUGUCUGUCGCGUCGGCUGUGAAAUCCCGGAGCUCAACUCCGGGUCUGCAGUCGAUACGGGCAAACUGGAGUACUGCAGGGGAGACUGGAAUUCCUGGUGUAGCGGUGAAAUGCGUAGAGAUCGGAAAGAACACCAACGGCGAAAGCACUCUGCUGGGCCGACACUGACACUGAGAGACGAAAGCUAGGGGAGCGAAUGGG